rnacentral:snRNA from 1 species
AGCUUUGCGCAGUGGCAGUAUAGUAGCCAAUGAGGCUUAUCCAAGGCGCGUUUAUUGCUAAUUGAAAACUUAAAAUAUG